AUUGAACGCUGGCGGCAUGCCUUACACAUGCAAGUCGAACGGCAGCAUGGAAGAGCUUGCUCUUCUGAUGGCGAGUGGCGAACGGGUGAGUAAAGCAUCGGAACGUACCGUGUAGUGGGGGAUAACGUAGCGAAAGUUACGCUAAUACCGCAUACGCACUGAGGUGGAAAGCAGGGGAUCGCAAGACCUUGCGCUAUACGAGCGGCCGAUGUCAGAUUAGCUAGUUGGUAGGGUAAAGGCCUACCAAGGCGACGAUCUGUAGCGGGUCUGAGAGGAUGAUCCGCCACACUGGGACUGAGACACGGCCCAGACUCCUACGGGAGGCAGCAGUGGGGAAUUUUGGACAAUGGGGGAAACCCUGAUCCAGCCAUGCCGCGUGAGUGAAGAAGGCCUUCGGGUUGUAAAGCUCUUUCGGCUGGGAAGAAAUCGCACAGGCUAAUACUCUGUGUGGAUGACGGUACCAGCACAAGAAGCACCGGCUAACUACGUGCCAGCAGCCGCAGUAAAAC
rnacentral:rRNA from 1 species